UACGAAGGGGGCUAGCGUUGUUCGGAUUUACUGGGCGUAAAGCGCACGUAGGCGGAUCGAUCAGUCAGGGGUGAAAUCCCAGAGCUCAACUCUGGAACUGCCUUUGAUACUGUCGAUCUGGAGUAUGGAAGAGGUGAGUGGAAUUCCGAGUGUAGAGGUGAAAUUCGUAGAUAUUCGGAGGAACACCGGUGGCGAAGGCGGCUUUCUGGACGACAACUGACGCUGAGACGCGAAAGCGUGGGGAGCAAACAGG
rnacentral:rRNA from 1 species